GAUGAACGCUGGCGGCGUGCCUAAUACAUGCAAGUCGAGCGAACAGAUGAGGAGCUUGCUCCUCUGACGUUCACGGCGGACGGGUGAGUAACACGUGGAUACCCUACCUAUGAGACUGGGAUAACUUCGGGAAACCGGAGCUAAUACCGUAUAAUAUAUUGAACCGCAUGGUUCAAUAGUGAAAGACGGUUUUGCUGUCACUUAUAGAUGUAGCCGCGCCGCAUUAGCUAGUUGGUAAGGUAACGGCUUACCAAGGCAACGAUGCGUAGCAGACCUGAGAGGGUGAUCGGCCACACUGGAACUGAGACACGGCCCAGACUCCUACGGGAGGCAGCAGUAGGGAAUCUUCCGCAAUGGGCGAAAGCCUGACGGAGCAACGCCGCGUGAGUGAUGAAGGUCUUCGGAUCGUAAAACCCUGUUAUUAGGGAAGAACAAAUUUGUAAGUAACUAUGCACGUCUUGACGGUACCUAAUCAGAAAGCCACGGCUAACUACGUG
rnacentral:rRNA from 1 species